UACGUAGGGGGCAAGCGUUGUCCGGAAUCAUUGGGCGUAAAGAGCGUGUAGGCGGCCCGAUAAGUCCGCUGUGAAAGUCCAGGGCUCAACCCUGGAAUGCCGGUGGAUACUGUCGGGCUCGAGUCCGGAAGAGGCGAGUGGAAUUCCUGGUGUAGCGGUGGAAUGCGCAGAUAUCAGGAGGAACACCGAUGGCGAAGGCAGCUCGCUGGGACGGUACUGACGCUGAGGCGCGAAAGCGUGGGGAGCGAACAGG
rnacentral:rRNA from 1 species